GCUAACGCGUUAAGUCUGCCGCCUGGGAAGUACGAGCGCAAGCUUAAAACUCAAAGGAAUAGGCGGGAAUUUGCACAAGCAGUGGAUCAUGUGGUUCAAUUCGACACUGAGCGAGGAACCUCACCAGGGCUUGAAAUUCUAGUGUAAGCCUUAGGAAACUAAGGCCCCCGCAAGGCACUAGGACAGGUGCUGCACGGCUGUCGUCAGCUCGUCAUGUGAAUGGUUUCCUUAAGUGGAUUAACGAGCGCAACCCCUAUUGUCUGUUAUACGUGUCAGACGAGACUGCUCCGGUAACGGAGAGGAAGGUGGGGAUGACGUCAAGUCAGCGUGGCCCUUUGAUGCCCUGGGCUACACACAUGAUACAAUGGGUGUUACAAUGGGUCGCUAAGCCGCGAGGCGGAGCUAAUCCCAUCAAAGGCACCCUCAGUUCGGAUAGGAGGCUGAAACUUGCCUCCUUGAAGCUGGAAUUGCUAGUAAUCGCUGAUCAGAACGCAGCGGUGAAUACGUUCUCA
rnacentral:rRNA from 1 species